AGCGUUGUUCGGAAUUACUGGGCGUAAAGGGCUCGUAGGCGGCCCGCUACGUCGAACGUGAAAUCCCCGGGCUCAACCCGGGAACUGCGUCCGAUACUGGUGGGCUUGAAUCCGGGAGAGGGAUGCGGAAUUCCAGGUGUAGCGGUGAAAUGCGUAGAUAUCUGGAGGAACACCGGUGGCGAAGGCGGCAUCCUGGACCGGCAUUGACGCUGAGGCGCGAAAGCCAGGGGAGCAAACGGG
rnacentral:rRNA from 1 species